UUUCCUUCUCCAGGGGAUCUUCCCAGACUAGGGAUUGACUCUGAAUCGUUUGCAUUGGCAGGCGAGAAGUGCUGUGGAGUCUGAAGAAGUGGUUAAUGCAGGGGAUGAGAGGGCGUGUGGAAGGGAGGACAUGUGAGCCAUCUCUGGAGGUUGCUGGGUCGUGUCCUGCUCUUUGAGACCCCAUGGACUGCAGCACGCCAGGCUUCCUGUCCCUCACCAUCUCCUGGAGGUCUGGUAGUACUAUGAAACAAACUGAUGUCUGAUAUUACUGUGCUGCGGAGGGUAAAUGUUAUCUUUACUUUUGCCAUAUUCUUUCCUGUUGUUGCCAUGCUACGGUACUGAGCAAGAGACUUCUCCUGUCACUGAGGUUGGUACAUCCCCUCCAGGCUAGCCAGUUAGAGAACUUCCUUUGUUCCCAGUGUGAACAGAUGACCCAAGAGUGUCAAGCAGAGUCUUUUGAAAGAGCAAAAGGCAUAUAGGAGAGAUAAGUUAUUUUUUUCUGAGGUUGCACAUGCAGAUCUCAAGAUUCUGAGGUCAUCUUUGCUGCACAUGGAGAGCAGCUUAUUGAGA